rfam:Oryza rufipogon genomic scaffold, chr03
AAUAAGACAAACCCUGGGUUUCCGUGUCCAACAUUUGACUGUCUGUUUUAUAUGAAAUAUUUUUAUAAUUAGUAUUUUCAUUGUUGUUAGAUGAUAAAACAUGAUUAAUACUUUAUGCGUGACUUGCAUUUUUAAUAUUUUUCAUAAUUUUUUCAAAUAAGACGGACGGUCAAAUGUUGGACACGGAAACCCAAGGUUUGUCUUUUU